rnacentral:rRNA from 1 species
UACGUAGGGUGCGAGCGUUAAUCGGAAUUACUGGGCGUAAAGCGUGCGCAGGCGGUUUUGUAAGCCAGAUGUGAAAUCCCCGGGCUUAACCUGGGAAUGGCAUUUGGGACUGCAAGGCUGGAGUUUGGCAGAGGAGACUGGAAUUCCCGGUGUAGCAGUGAAAUGCGUAGAGAUCCGGAGGAACACCAGUGGCGAAGGCGAGUCCCUGGACAACUCCUGACACUGAGGCACGAAAGCUAGGGGAGCAAACAGG